rnacentral:sRNA from 1 species
GCCAGGGACGGUAAUGCACACCUGUAAUCUCAGCAAUCCCUGGAGGCUGAGGCAGGAGGAUCACAAGUUCAAGGCCAGCCUUGAACCUUAGUGAUCUCUUGUCUAAA